rnacentral:rRNA from 1 species
AGUGAACGCUGGCGGUAGGCCUAACACAUGCAAGUCGAACGGCAGCACAGUAAGAGCUUGCUCUUACGGGUGGCGAGUGGCGGACGGGUGAGGAAUACAUCGGAAUCUACUUUUUCGUGGGGGAUAACGUAGGGAAACUUACGCUAAUACCGCAUACGACCUACGGGUGAAAGCAGGGGAUCUUCGUACCUUGCGCGAUUGAAUGAGCCGAUGUCGGAUUAGCUAGUUGGCGGGGUAAAGGCCCACCAAGGCGACGAUCCGUGGCUGGUCUGAGAGGAUGAUCAGCCACACUGGAACUGAGACACGGUCCAGACUCCUACGGGAGGCAGCAGUGGGGAAUAUUGGACAAUGGGCGCAAGCCUGAUCCAGCCAUACCGCGUGGGUGAAGAAGGCCUUCGGGUUGUAAAGCCCUUUUGUUGGGAAAGAAAAGCAGCAGGUUAAUACCCCGCUGUUCUGACGGUACCCAAAGAAUAAGCACCGGCUAACUUCGUG